rnacentral:rRNA from 1 species
AUGCCCAUAUCCGGCAGGCGGGUGCUUGUUAGGUGUGUGCUCUCCGCGCUCUCGGCAUAUGCGAUCACAGUACUGUGCGCCCCAAAGAAAUUCCUCAAAGACAUCGACAUAGUGCGGCGGCGCUUCCUCUGGGUCCAGGAGGAGGAGCUCACAGGAGGAAAGAGCAAAGUUAACUGGCAGGUGGUCACCUCUCCCAUCGAUUGCGGCGGUCUGGGCAUCCCUGACAUGGCCAGGUUCGCCAUGGCCCUGCGGCUACGCUGGCUCUGGCUUGCCUGGAAAUGCCCUGACAAGCCAUGGGUGGGA